AUCAGGCUGUCAGUGGAGUUCACAGCACGUCAGUUUCAACAUAAACCAUGUUCUCUGGAGCUCUGCUGCUGCUGUUGGCAGCUGGAUGUGUGAAGUGUGAACAGUUGACCCAGCCAGCCUCUGUGACUGUGCAGCCAGGUCAACGUCUGACCAUCACCUGUCAGGUCUCUUAUUCUCUCAGCAGCUACUACACAGCUUGGAUCAGACAGCCUGCAGGGAAAGGACUGGAGUGGAUUGGAAUGGCAGCUGGAUCCACCACAUACUACAAAGAUUCCCUGAAGAACAAGUUCAGUAUCGACUUAGAGACUUCCAGCAACACAGUGACUCUAAAUGGACAGAAUGUACAGCCUGAAGACACUGCUGUGUAUUACUGUGCCAGAGAGCCACAGUAA